rnacentral:rRNA from 1 species
GAUGAACGCUGGCGGCGUGCUUAACACAUGCCAGUCGAACGGAAAGGCCAGUGCUUGCACUGGUACUCGAGUGGCGAACGGGUGAGUAACACGUGGGUGAUCUGCCCUGCACUUCGGGAUAAGCCUGGGAAACUGGGUCUAAUACCGGAUAGGACAAUGGUUUGGAUGCCGUUGUGGAAAGUUUUUUCGGUGUGGGAUGAGCUCGCGGCCUAUCAGCUUGUUGGUGGGGUAAUGGCCUACCAAGGCGUCGACGGGUAGCCGGCCUGAGAGGGUGUACGGCCACAUUGGGACUGAGAUACGGCCCAGACUCCUACGGGAGGCAGAAGUGGGGAAUAUUGCACAAUGGGCGCAAGCCUGAUGCAGCGACGCCGCGUGGGGGAUGACGGCCUUCGGGUUGUAAACUCCUUUCGCUAGGGACGAAGCGUAUUUGUGACGGUACCUGGAGAAGAAGCACCGGCUAACUACGUG